rnacentral:rRNA from 1 species
UACAGAGGUCUCAAGCGUUUGUUCGGAUUCAUUGGGCGUAAAGGGUGCGUAGGUGGCGGGGCCAGUCAGGUGUGAAAUCCCGGGGCUUAACCCUGGAACUGCAUUUGAUACUGCCUUGCUGGAGAACUGGAGAGGAGACUGGAAUUUACGGUGUAGCAGUGAAAUGCGUAGAUAUCGUAAGGAAGACCAGUGGCGAAGGCGGGUCUCUGGACAGUUCCUGACGCUGAGGCACGAAGGCCAGGGGAGCAAACGGG